rnacentral:rRNA from 1 species
AUUGAACGCUGGCGGCAGGCCUAACACAUGCAAGUCGAACGCGUGGCGGACGGGUGAGUAAUGUCUGGGACACUGCCUGAUGGCGGGGGAUAACUACUGGAAACGGUACUUAAUACCGCAUACCAUCCACUGUGCCCAGAUGGGAUUAGCUAGUUGGUGGGGUAACGGCUCACCAAGGAGCCGAUCCCUAGCUGGUAUGAGAGGAUGACCAGCAACACUGGAACGUAGACACGGUCCAGCCUCCUACGGUAGGCAGCAGUGGGGAACAUGGCACAAUGGGCGCAAGCCUGAUGGAGCCAUGCCGCGUGUAUGAAGAAGGCCUUCGGGUUGUAAAGUACUUGCAGCGGGGAGGCGUUACCCGCAGAAGAAGCACCGGCUAACUCCGUGCAAGCCGCCGCGGUAAUUC